UACGAGGGGGGCGAGCGUUGUUCGGAAUUAUUGGGCGUAAAGGGUGCGUAGGCGGUUUGGUAAGUCUGAUGUGAAAUCUAUGGGCUCAACUCAUAGUCUGCAUCGGAAACUGCCGGGCUUGAGUGUGGGAGAGGUGAGUGGAAUUCCUGGUGUAGCGGUGGAAUGCGCAGAUAUCAGGAGGAACACCGGUGGCGAAGGCGGGUCUCUGGGCAGUAACUGACGCUGAGGAGCGAAAGCGUGGGGAGCGAACAGG
rnacentral:rRNA from 1 species